rnacentral:rRNA from 1 species
CGGACGGGUGAGUAACGCGUGAGAAUCUGGCUUUAGGUUCGGGACAACCACUGGAAACGGUGGCUAAUACCGGAUGUGCCUUAUGGUAAAAGGUUUACCGCCUGAAGAUGAGCUCGCGUCUGAUUAGCUAGUUGGUGUGGUAAGAGCGCACCAAGGCGACGAUCAGUAGCUGGUCUGAGAGGAUGAUCAGCCACACUGGGACUGAGACACGGCCCAGACUCCUACGGGAGGCAGCAGUGGGGAAUUUUCCGCAAUGGGCGAAAGCCUGACGGAGCAAGACCGCGUGAGGGAGGAAGGCUCUUGGGUCGUAAACCUCUUUUCUCUGGGAAUAAGAAAGUGAAGGUACCAGAGGAAUCAGCAUCGGCUAACUCCGUGCCAGCAGCCGCGGUAAUACGGAGGAUGCAAGCGUUAUCCGGAAUGAUUGGGCGUAAAGAGUCCGUAGGUGGUGAUUCAAGUCGAUUGUUAAAGAGCGAGGCUUAACCUCGUAAAAGCAGUGGAAACUGAAUCGCUAGAGAGAGGUAGGGGUAGAGGGAAUUCCCGGUGUAGCGGUGAAAUGCGUAGAGAUCGGGAAGAACACCAGUGGCGAAGGCGCUCUACUGGGCCUCAUCUGACACUGAGGGACGAAAGCUAGGGGAGCGAAUGGGAUUAGAUACCCCAGUAGUC